UUUUAGCCCUAAUAGAAAUGAAAAUAUUUUGCUGAAAAAAGAUUGAAAUGUAUAGCAGGAUUAGCU
rnacentral:sRNA from 1 species